GUCCAAUAACAUUUAAUGGAACCUGAUAUAGUCUGGCUCUGUGUCCACACCCAAAUCUUAUGCUGAAUUGUGAUACUGAGUGUUGGAGAUGUGCUUGUUUCCCCUUCGCCCUUCUGAUGCCAUGAUUGUAAGUUUCCUGAGGCCUUCCAAGCCAUGCUUCUUGUACAGCCUGUUGAAAUAGGAAUAUGAUGCUGCCAGAUUUUACUUCAGGAUGAAUUCAUUGAUGGAAUUAGGAGGGGAAGUUCAACUGCUGCUGGACUGAGCCAGCGUCGCAUCCUCUGGAACAGGAAUCUCCUGCCUGCUUAGCACUAGCCAACUUUGCCAUUGGUCUUUCUCUCUAGUGUAUUAUCCCACACUAUUUAUUGUUUUUGA